GGUGAGCUGGCUCAGCAGUUAAGAGCACUGGCUACUUUUGCAGAGGACCUGGGUUCAAUUCCCAGCACCC
rnacentral:tRNA from 1 species